UCGUCCCUAGGGCUGGAGACUGCUCAGUCGCGCGCCUGGGCCUUUUCUGUAGAAUGGAAUACAUGUCUCACUCACGAGGUUACUAAUAUCAUCAUCUGCUCCUUACCUGAUGUAGAAUCACCCCAGUAGUCCCAGGAGGUAGAAACAUUGUCGUCCACGCCUCACAAAUGAGGAAAUGCGGCUCAGAGAGGCGAGUGGCGUUUUUGCCAGAGUUAUUACCUGAAAAAUUGCGUUUGAUGAGUGUCUACCAAAGGACACAACUAAGCCAAAGAGCGGGAGAAGGAAGGAUUACUUGCAGCAAGUAAGGACAACACCAGGGAGCUUUCCCAAAGCAGCUUCUCCUCAAAUAGCAAAGUUGGGAACGUUUUUAAGCUAAGGGUACAUGCAUAUUGAUGAAAGGGCUUGGAUGGUCACAGAGUCCAACUUUAGUUGAUUGCAGUCAUGGGAGUCAGGAAAGGUCAACAUCAUACCUUAGGUUCCACCUGAUCUAAUGGUUGAGUGCUUCAGUCUAAACUUUACCAUUGAAACAAAAUUGUCUUUACUACUGAUACAUUAUCUUCACUACGUUAUUUCUCUUGCCUGAUAACAGUUUAUUCUUUUGUUCCCUGAAGAUCAUUACUACUGAGACCUGUUCAAGGGCAAACCUCGUGACCGGAUUUAGAUCACAAAAUAGCCUAAGCCAAAAAUGGCUUCUCUUUUGUCAUAAAAGCCAUGCCUCUAUUUCUCUCUGGGUAGCACCACCACCACCACCACCACACUAUCUGCCUACAGGAAGAAUAGGUUUCAUUGACUACUGAGCAUGAGGUUUGAAUUCUGCCCUUGCCAUUUAACAGCAGUGAAGCAGAGGACAGCUUUCUUGCCUUCUCCAGGCCUCAGUUUGUUCACUGUUGAAAUGAGUCUGAUGAUACCACUUCAUGGAGCUGCUAUGAAGAUUAAAUUAGAUUAGUGGUUCCAAGACCAUUUUAUACUCUUUAGAAAUGAUUGAGGGCCUCAAAAAGCUUUUGCUAAUAUGGGUUUAAUCUGUCUGUGUUUACCAUAAUAUAAAUUUUUAAAAAUCACUUUCACUUAAAAAUAAUAAACUACCUCUUUUAAAAAGUAGCUAUAUUUCCCCCAAAAUAUAGAGAAGAGUGGCAGCCGUUUUACAUUUUUGCAAAUCUCUUUAAAGUCUGACUCCACAGAAGAUAGCUGGAGUCUCACGUCUGCUUCUGCACUGAAUAUAUUGCUUUGGUUGGAGGUAUAUGAAGAAAACCCAGCCUCAGAUGCUCCUAAGGUGGACCACACCGACCUCAUCUCUAGUGUGAUACCCCACUGGCUGCAGAGUCCUAACUAAUGCUCGAGUACCCUGGGGGGGACCAGUCCCCUCUUCAGGUGAAAACUGGAAGUGAAGCAAACACCAAAAGGCCCUCGUUAGCUGGCAUUCCCGCACGAAGACACUUUGCCCGGAUUCUUUAUGCUCCUCCACUUAGGCCUCAGCUAGAUUCUCACCGUGGCUAGCCAGUGUUGUCUUCUUACUUGAAAAAGAAGAGGAAAGAGGGAGGAAGGAAGAAAAGAAGAGAAGAGAAAAGGAAGGAAGAUGAAAUGGAAAACUCAUCUUCCAACCACGUUGAAGAGCCAUCCAGAAACAGAGUGGCAAAACACUGGUACUGGGAGCCCAGUGAUGUGAGGACUUUUUCUAUUUUUGCUAUUUGUAUGUAAAUCUGGAAUUCCUUACCAGAUUUUAUUUUUGAAGGAAGCGUGUAAUAUCAUGUAUCACUUGAUAUGACAUAACAUGAUGAGAAAGGCACUUCACCUCUGGGGUGUUCACCCCCGCACCCCAUAAUCCCUGUCUAAUCACUAGAAGAACAUCAGACAAACCCAAGUUGAGGGAAAUUUUGCAGAAUAACUGACCAGGAUUUUCUGCAGGUGCCUGCCCAGGUCAUAGGAGACAUGGACAGACCAGAGGCGCCUAAGGAGGUGAGACACCUAAAUAUAAUGUGGGAUGCUGGAACAGAAAAGGACAUUCAUGGGAAAAUUGGUAAAAUCCAAAUAAAAUUUGGGGUUUAGUUAAUAGUAAUGGACCAAUGUUGAUCUCUUCAUUCUGGGAAAUGUACCAUUGUUAGGUAUGUUAACAUGGAGGGAAGCUGGGGAAGGGCAUAUGGGAACUUGGCACUAUCUUGCAACAUUUCUGUAAAUCUAAGAUCCAAAAUAAAAAAUACACAAAA